AACGAACGCUGGCGGCGUGGAUAAGACAUGCAAGUCGAGCGCUCAUUCGGUUGCAGCAAUGUAGCCGAGUGGGAGCGGCGCAAGGGUGCGUAACACGUGGGUAAUUUGCCAAAAAGUUUGGGAUAACUCGCUGAAAGGCGAGCUAAUACCGGAUGUGAUCAUCGGGCGGCAUCGUUUGAUGAUUAAAGUUGGGGACCGUAAGGCCUGACGCUUUUUGAUAAGCCCGCGGCCUAUCAGCUAGUUGGUGAGGUAACGGCUCACCAAGGCUAAGACGGGUAGCUGGUCUGAGAGGACGACCAGCCACACUGGAACUGAGACACGGUCCAGACACCUACGGGUGGCAGCAGUCGAGAAUUUUUCACAAUGGGCGAAAGCCUGAUGGAGCGACGCCGCGUGGGGGAUGAAUGGCUUCGGCCCGUAAACCCCUGUCAUUUGCGAACAAACCUUGCUAUUUAAAAGAUGGCGAGCUGAUUGUAGCGAAAGAGGAAGGGACGGCUAACUCUGUGC
rnacentral:rRNA from 1 species